rnacentral:rRNA from 1 species
GAUGUUGGUUAAGUCCGCAACGAGCGCAACCCCUAUUGUUAGUUGCCAUCAUUCAGUUGGGCACUCUAGCGAGACUGCCGGUAAUAAACCGGAGGAAGUGGGGAUGACGUCAAAUCAUCAUGCCCCUUAUGACCUGGGCUACACACGUGCUACAAUGGUUGGUACAACGAGUUGCGAGUCGGUGACGGCGAGCUAAUCUCUUAAAGCCAAUCUCAGUUCGGAUUGUAGGCUGCAACUCGCCUACAUGAAGUCGGAAUCGCUAGUAAUCGCGGAUCAGCACGCCGCGGUGAAUACGUUCCCGGGCCUU